rnacentral:miRNA from 1 species
GAACAUCUGCGGAGCUAAA